CCUACGGGUGGCAGCAGUGAGGAAUAUUGGUCAAUGGGCGGGAGCCUGAACCAGCCAAGUCGCGUGAGGGAAGACGGUCCUAUGGAUUGUAAACCUCUUUAGGCGGGGAGCAAUGCCGGGCACGCGUGCCCGGAUGGAGAGUACCCGCAGAAUAAGCAUCGGCUAACUCCGUGCCAGCAGCCGCGGUAAUACGGAGGAUGCGAGCGUUAUCCGGAUUUAUUGGGUUUAAAGGGUGCGUAGGCGGAUUUUUAAGUCAGCGGUAAAAUGUCCGGGCUCAACCCGGGCCGGCCGUUGAAACUGGCGGUCUUGAGUGGGCGAGAAGUAUGCGGAAUGCGUGGUGGAGCGGUGAAAUGCAUAGAUAUCACGCAGAACUCCGAUUGCGAAGGCAGCAUACCGGCGCCCGACUGACGCUGAGGCACGAAAGCGUGGGGAUCGAACAGGAUUAGAUACCCGUGUAGUC
rnacentral:rRNA from 1 species